rnacentral:rRNA from 1 species
CCGGCGCACGGGUGCGUAACGCGUAUGCAACUUACCUAUCAGAGGGGGAUAACCCGGCGAAAGUCGGACUAAUACCGCAUGAAGCAGGGGCCCCGCAUGGGGAUAUUUGCUAAAGAUUCAUCGCUGAUAGAUAGGCAUGCGUUCCAUUAGGCAGUUGGCGGGGUAACGGCCCACCAAACCGACGAUGGAUAGGGGUUCUGAGAGGAAGGUCCCCCACAUUGGUACUGAGACACGGACCAA